rnacentral:lncRNA from 1 species
GUUGUCGUCAUUUUCUCAUGCCUCCCAAAGAUUUUGGCUCAAAGUAGUCCGAAAAGAUUUUGGAUUAAGUCUCAGAAACAUAAGCUGAUAUGCUUUUAGUUUUAUAUGAUUCUGUGAAAACUUAAAAAUAAAAUCCUGAAUUGAUAUUUUAUUCUACUUUUUAUUUUUUAGAGUCAGAGUCUUGCUCUGUCCACCAGGCAACCCCACACUCCUGGCCUCAAGUGAUCCUCCUGCCUCAGUCUGCCAAGUAGCUAGGACUGCAGGUGCACCACCAUGCCUGGCUAACUUUUAAAAUCUUUUUUGUAGAAACAGAGUCUUGCUAUGUGGCCAAGUUGGUCUUGAACUCCUGGCCUUGAGUGAUCCUCCCACCUCUACCUCCCGAAGCACUGUUAUUAUAGGUAAGAGCCACGGCACCUGGCUUCUGUCUUUACGAAAAUCGGCCAUUUGAUUUGUCAUUUCCACAUCACCAUUAAUGUUUGGUUAAAUGUGAGGUUGUAGGUAGUUUCUAUUUAAACAUCAGGACUUAGUUAUGCCUGUUGUAUCAAUCAAUGCAUAAAUGUGAAGCCAGAGGUGACAACAUUUGAGUAGGAAUUUAAGUUGUUUUAAAUAAUUUCUAGGGCAUUGUGAUGCAAAUAUUUGCAUGUAAUCCAAUACAAAUGUCAAUAAUAUUUUUGAGGAUAAUGAUACAGAGGACAUUUUACUAUAGGAAUAAAAUCAAGGAAAGAAUUUUGACAAAAGAAAGAACUCAUUUGAAACAAUGCCCAAGCCUCUGCUUCAAGUCAACAGGGAAGGAGAACGGCACCUACCUCACAUUAGAAGCCUGCUGCAGUCAUGUAAAGAAGGUAACCAUGGCAAGAAACUGCUUGUUUCCAUGCAUAAUGUAUUUAACUUAGAGACUGGCAUGGGCCUUAGAGGAAGCCCUAAUGAUGCACUGUUCAAAACCAGAAAGAUGUGAGAGGGAUGUGCCGGUGCUGAGAUUUCCUUCAAGGCUCUGAAAGCUGGAAGCGAGACAGAGAUCUCCUGCAGAGCAUCUCUCCUCACUGAUACCUGAAACACGUGCUGGCCCUGAUUCCUUUAAACAUCAGAAAUGUGGUGUCAAGGCUCUGGGUGUCCAAGUGGUGUGAGCAGGUCAUGGGAUCCUGGAGUCCAGCUAGAACAUAGGAAAGAAGUCUGAGUUCCGCAGGUACUCUUGCCAGACCCCGGGUUUAUUCUGCUCCGAUCCUGAUGCACGCAGGGCAACACACAAGGAGAGAGGCCUGCUGCUGUAUUUUAAUGGAUCGUCUCAGCUGGCAUCUCAUUUCCAAUACUGGUGUAUUUAGCUCCACUGAGAUGAAGCCAUACUGCAUAGGAAGGGCCCUUGAUCCAAUGUGAAGACACAGGGACUUGGAGAGGACGCCAGGGAAUGACAGAGGCAGAGACAGCACUGAUGCACCUGCAAGCCAAGGAGUGCAAAGGAUCCAUGGCCAUCACCAGAAGCUAGGAAGAGGAUUCUUCCCAGAGCCCUUGGAAAAACUGGCUCUGCUGACACUUGAUUCAAACUUCGAGCCUGAAGAACUAUAAGAAAAUUAUUUCUGUUGUUUUAAUCCAUUGGGUUUAUGGUACUUUAUUACAUCAGCCAUGGGAAAGUAGUAUCUAAGCCGACUCUCUUCGUAAGCUUUCCUGUUUCCAAUUUGGGUCCUUCCUAUUUCCCACUUGGAUCUUUCCUAUUCCCCACUUGAGUGCCCAGCCUGCCCACAUACUGAACAGUUGUCAUAGACCCUAUGAAGAAGACUUAUUAAGUGGUCUUUUGUAUUCAGUGCCCUUGGAUUCAAAUUCAUGAAGAAGAGUUAAACUCAAGGAUCAAAUCAUUCUGUAUCUGGUUUGAAGCAUGUGAGGUAGGAUAUUAUCACAACCACAAAUGGAACUAUAUUCAUCACAUUGCUUAUACUGUGUUACUGAUUAGCUUCACCCUCAAUGGUCACUAAAGAAAUUGAACUGACCAUGAAUAUUUUAUAUCAAGAGACCAUCAACCUGAAAAGAGCUUCCAAAAGUAAACGCAUAACUGAGAUCUGGAGUUAGUCUUCCAAGACAAAGUGGCUUGGAUUUAUUUUAAAUUUAAAAUGUAGUCCAUGUAAUUCUCGGGCAGCAUUAUUUUUCCUCUAUAAUAAAUUUCUAGUAUUGGACCAUAUCCUAGUCUAACUCAAAAAUAAUCUCUGAGAAUAAAGCACGACACAACACAUGAGGAGAAUUUCCAGGGUGCAGUAGAGACACCCACACAACUGACCUAAAACAUCUCUCGAGUUGUUACAAUAGUUAUCUUCGAACUUAGCCAAAAAUCUUAUAAUCUCCAGCUUGGGCUCUGAAUCUCUAGUAAGUUUUCAGAUUAAACCUUUUUUUUCUUAAAGCUUCUUUUUCUAGGAAAAUUUCAGUCCUCUGGUGGAAAUCAUUAUAUGUGUGAAAUGGUAUCUGACCCAAAGGAAGGUGUUCACAAUCAGCAUAUUUAAGGAGUUCCUACUGUGUGCAAAGCAGUUUAGUCUUCAUGACUCUUGAUACAAAGGCGAAAUGAAUAUGAUCCCUUAUCUUAUCAAAUUUUACCAGGUAAGAAUUCAAUGAUUAUCCAGGUAGAAGAGACAAACAUACCAAUAAAUCCAAAAAUAAGUCAAUGUGAGCUUCUGCACCAGCCACAGACCCAUCCCUGAGACCCCUUUGAGAUGUUCAUACUCAGAAUUCAACUCUUCCUCUAGAAUCAUUACAAGAUUAGCUACCAGUUGUACAUCAGCCACUCCUAAUACCUAGUGGGGUUUCAAUGUUGUCUUGCAUCAAUGAAGGUGCUAAUCACGUCUAUGGUGACAUUUAACACCACCUCCGACUCCCUCAUCUCAAACCUCUGCUUCUGCUGGCCACCUCCUCUGCCACACCACCCCCCUUAACUGAAUGGGUUUGGUAAACUUUGGUUUGAGCUAGAUUUCUGACAAUUAUCCCCCACUAUUUUUACCUGCAUGGUGCCACCAAUGUCUGCAUGAAGAGGGGAGAGAUAAAGAAGAAAGAGAAAAAAAUGGAGAAGUGCGUUAAAAUAAAUAAAUAAAUAAAAUUAUAAAGGCAGCUGAGAGCUAGGUUGUCAAAGUCAUUAAAUGCCAACUGAGAAGGAAUGAUGUGAUUCCAUCUUUCUUUUAGAACAAGUACUAAUAUCCAAGAUAUUGCUAACGCUGUGAUGUGUGUCACUGACUUUGUGAUAGAAUGUAACAAGUACCAAAUUUUCUAAAUGCUUUGCCAUAAAAUUAAAGUACAAUCAAUAUUAUUACCAUAAUAAUGGAGUUUCUCAAAGUUGUGUGAUAAUGAACCCUAAAACAAAUCAAAAAAGCAAAGCAAACUUUAUAUGGAUCUCCAAUAUUGGCCAAUCAUCUUCAUUGUAAGUUUUUAUGAUUGGCUGAAAAAUGUAUCUCCACCCUCAAGGAUAUCCAUGUCCUGUUCUCUGGAACCUGUACAUGUUAUUUUCAAUUGCAAAAAAGUGGGGAAGGGGUGUGGGGAUGUGAUUAAGUUGAGAAAUUUGAGAUGUGAGACUAUUCUGGAUUUUCCAGAGGAAGGCAAAGGACAAAUUGACACACAAAGAGGACAAAGCAAGUGAAGUUGGAGAAGACAAAGAUUUGAGGAUGUGGCCACAAGCCAAGGAACCCUGGCAGCCACCACAAGCCAGAAGAGGCAAGGAACAGAUUCUACCGAAGUCUCCCAAGGGAGACUCCCAAGGGAGUGUGGCCCUGCUCAUGCCUUGAUUUCAGCCGAGUGAUAGUAAUUUGAGACUUCGGGUCUGCACAACUGUGAAAUAAUACAUUUAUUUUAUUUUAAAACACCAAGGUGGUGGAAAUUUGUUUCAGCAGCCAUAAGAAACUGAUCAUUUUUAUUACAAAUCUGAUGUGCAAACAUCAAACAAUGGAUAAAUUCCUUAUGCUUACACCUAUAAAACAUCUCUAAAAUCCCAUCUCACCUAUAAAUUAAAUAAAAAGGAAGCUUUUUAUUUAAGCCAAUAAAACUCAAUAACAGAAAUAUAAUAUGAUUGAUGAUUGCAAAAAGAGGCCACUGUUUGCAAUAUGAAUAUAGCUCUUAUAGUCACAUUGCAAGUUCUCUUAAGUGUCAUCUGCCUAAAAUGCAGGGUGCCAUGUGCUAACUUCAAUCUCCCACCAUUUCUCUCUCGUUGAACUAGUAAAAGGAUUCAUGGAGAUUCACUAGGUUAAAUAUUUAAUUUUAGUGUAUAUAGUCUGCCUUUCUCCUUUUCUUGUUAGCCUCUGCCAUUCAAAUAGAACUACUGCAAGGAAAGAGUAAACAUAGAAGCCAACUGAACACUGAAGUUGAGAGUCAUCACUGUUUACAGGUGACCAUCUAAAUCAAUGAUUCUUCACCUUAAAUCUGCAUGCACAGAUCACCAAGUGUCCUGUUAAAAUGCAAAUUCAUAGGUCUGGGCAGGACCUGAUCUUCUAGUGAGUUCCCAUCAAGAUGAUGCCAAUGUUGCUGGACCACAGUUUAAAAAGCAGGGCUCUAAGAAACCCAUCCAGAGUGCACUUCUUUGUUUGUUUGUUUGUGUGUUUUUGAGAUGGAGUCUUCGCCACCCAGGCUGGAGUGCAGUGGUGCAAUCUUGGCUUAUUACAACCUCCACCUCCCGGAUUCAAGUGAUUCUCCUGCCUCGGC